AUAUCUUGGGAUUUAUUGAAUCUAGUUCACAGUAAGCCCGCGAGGUGGUCACUGUAAACGGUCAAAAUUGUUUCCAAAAUGAUGAAAUUACAUAUUUUCACAUUUUCCGUGCUAUUGAUAUAUUGCUGCUUUCUUGAGACCAGUCUUGGACAAGAGGCAGAAACUGAGACGAAAUAUGCUGCCAGAAUAGAGAGUUGCCGUGGAUGACAACUGAACUCCCUCCCUUCAGUGAAGCAGUUCAUCUUUCAAGACCUUCCAUAUUAUCAUGACGUAGAUUUAAGGUUCGUGGGGGGCGCCAAUCCAGACCUUCUCAUCCUUGAUUCUGAGGGCAAAAUCGACCAGAGAAUCGACUUGUCGGAAAUGCACAGGAGUCAGCUAAAUGAUUUGAUGUUUGAGCAUGGUUUUCAGCGAUCAGAGACGAAGAAGGAUGAAGACAAGGAGGAGUUAUAAAACUUUCAUUAAUUAAUGCUGUCAUGUAGUUAAAAGUGCAAUUCCCCCAUUUACGUCCAACCAGCAAAGCUGCUUUUUUUUUGGGGGGGGGGGGGGGUGUCAUGAUGUCAUUUUCUUUCCUUUCCCUUUUUUUAUUUUCUUUACCCUUCCUGUACGAUUGAUUCCGUUUAAUCACUUUAAAAUGAAAUAUAAUAGAUGAAAAGAUCAACUGUAUGCUCUUGACUAUUUUAAAAGUCAGAUCUGAUCAGUGACUAGUAUAGACUAGACAUAUUACUUGCACACAGCUGACUAGCUUUUUGCCGAGUGUGUAACCUACCAAGUUUAUUCUAAUGAGAUCAUCUAACAUAAAUAGCCAGAAUUAAAAUCAUCAUUUUACUUCUGUUUAGUUCUCUUAAAUUCGAAAGAGUAUAUUAAAAAAGUAUAAUUUACUAUAUCAAUUCAGAAAAUUUCAAAUUUUGGAGAUGCACAAUAUUGUCUUACCUUCGGAAUAAAAGUCAAAUUACACUCAUAUAAAAUCGAAACAGAACAUUUGCCGAUUAAUUUUUAACUUGUAUUGAUAAAAUUUAAUGUAUUGAUGGAAUAUAUAGAAUGAUUUAGAAUUAGAUAGAGUUGUGAAGUAGAAUCUGGGGGUGCAAAUAACAGGAACUAGCUUUGAAUUUGUAUUUAUUUAUUUAUACAUGUUAUUUAUUUAUUUAUUAUUUUUUACAGAAGUAGUUUAUGAAAUUAGAGUAUGAUACCAUGUUAUCGAAAUUUGAUCCAGGUUGUUGUUUACAUUUAUGGAUUUCAUUUCUAGCAAUUUUUCUCGAUGGUAAUUAAUAUUUGAUAACAUGUUGUUUAUUAUGAAUUAGAAACAAUAACUGGAAAUCAUUAUCGUUACAACUCGUAAAACUCUUGUAACUCGAGUAAUGGGGUAUAUACUUUAUUAUGUUAAUUGCAGGAUUGUAUUUAAUCGAACAUUUUAUUCCAAAAUAUCAAAAACAUUUGGUUUCCUUAAAAAAUGACAAAAAUAUUUAGUUUAAGGGAUGCACACUCGGAAAGAAAAUGGGAAAACCUUUAGAAAUUUAAGAAUUGUACUCUUUUUAUGAUUAUGUUGCUUUUGUGCACAUAUUGUUUUUUUUUCAAAUGAAUGAAUAAGUCAAGAUUUUGAAACAUGUGCAUUACUUUGUAUUUAUGAUGCCUACUACUUCAGCUUAUAAUCAAGUUGUAGCAGGUUGAUAUGCCAGGCAAGACGUGAAUAUGUUUCAAUAUCGAAAGGGACUUUUUCAUGGAACUGUAGAAGAUAUUUAAUAACUAAAUUAAUUAAAAACAUAUUGGAAUUCA